AUUGAACGCUGGCGGCAGGCCUAACACAUGCAAGUCGAGCGGAUGAAGGGAGCUUGCUCCUGGAUUCAGCGGCGGACGGGUGAGUAAUGCCUAGGAAUCUGCCUGGUAGUGGGGGACAACGUUUCGAAAGGAACGCUAAUACCGCAUACGUCCUACGGGAGAAAGCAGGGGCCCUUCGGGCCUUGCGCUAUCAGAUGAGCCUAGGUCGGAUUAGCUAGUUGGUGAGGUAAUGGCUCACCAAGGCGACGAUCCGUAACUGGUCUGGGAGGAUGAUCAGUCACACUGGAACUGAGACACGGUCCAGAAUCCUACGGGAGGCAGCAGCGGGGAAUAUUGGACAAUGGGCGAAAGCCUGAUCCAGCCAUGCCGCGUGUGUGAAGAAGGUCUUCGGAUUGUAAAGCACUUUAAGUUGGGAGGAAGGGUUGUAGAUUAAUACUCUGCAAUUUUGACGUUACCGACAGAAUAAGCACCGGCUAACUCUGUGCCAGCCGCCGCCGUAACAC
rnacentral:rRNA from 1 species